CCUGAACAGAAGCCCUCCCAACCAUUUUGGAGGCUCUCUAGUUUCAGAUCAUCUGUCCUCCAAGUUCCCCCAGCAUCUUCCUCUCUGAGUAAGCAAAUAUACUUCAGAAAGGACCUCAGAGUCCUGCUUUUUGCUCUCCCACUCUGGGGAACUCUGUUCAGUGUUGAAGACCUGCCCAUAAGAGGAGCUGAGCCUGCUACCCACCCACCUUGUCUCCUGAACACAUUGGCUGGAGUUCCUGUGUGAAAGCAUCUGUUGUAUAUUCAUGGAACUGGAAGAUUGCCCAAUUUGGAGGAAUAAUCCAGAAGGUGUUAUGUUUUCUACAUGCCAGCCAUAUCACUUGGGAAUUUAUAUCCCUAUCAAUACUAUGCUAAUAUGCUUGGUCCAUAGGAUCCUUACUGCUAGAGUAAGUGAACAACACCUUUUCUGUUUUAAUAAAAUGAGAGAAAAAGCAAUAUAACAUAAUAUACCAUUUAAAGAAUAUAAAUCUUUUGUUGUAACUAAUACUCUUUCCAGGUGAUAUACGAAGUCUAGAUUUGACAAGGGUUUGAAGAUUCAUCUUCCCACUGAAGUUUUAGCUGAGAAAAAUCAUUGCAAGGUGGACAGCACAUAGAUUUUAAUUCAAUUCUGACUGACACUUAUUUGUUCUAAGUUCCUGAUAAAGUCAGAAGAUCAUAGAUAUAGAGCUGGUGGUGAUCUUAGAGGUCAUCUAAUUUCUCAACUAAUUCUUCUCAUUUUACACACAAGGAUGAAAAUGAUUGAUAUGGAAGUAAGUAGCAGAGCAUUUGAACUUGAGUUCCAUUGACACAAAGUAAGUACUCUUUCUAAUUAAUCUGUUGGAGCCUCAAUAUUCUUAUCUGUAAAAUGGGGAUAAUGAUACUUAUCCUGACUUCUUCCUAGGUUUGUUGUAAAAUAAGACACUAGAAGACUCUGAGGGGAAGUGACUUUUCCAAGGGCACUAGCAAUCUAGAUGCCUUUUCUCCUUAAUUAUAAAAUGAAACGAUAAGACUGGAUGAUUUCUAAGUUUCCUUUCAGCACCAAUAUUCUAUUUCUAAAAGAGAUAAUAUGUGUAAAUACUUUCUUACAUUUUAAUUUGUUUCCUAUGUUUUUAUAUCACCUCUGAAUAUAUACCUUUUUCCUCUCCUCUACACAGAGUUAUCCCUAACAAAGAAUAAAAAAUAAAGAGAAAAAACGAACUAGCCAAUUCACCAAUGGAAUCUGAUGGUAUAUGCAGCACCCAUAGUCCCCUGACUUUUCAAAGAAAUGAGGGAGGUAUAUAUUUUUUAAAAAAUCUCUUCUUAAGGAACAAGUUUCAUCAUUAUAAUUACAUAGCAUUUAAUUUUGUUUUGCUUUUCAUCAUUUCCAUUUCCAUCAUUGUGGUCAUUGUAUUUUUUUUGGUCUUUUUUGGUUUUGCUUUGAUUUUAACAAUCUCCCCAAGCUUAUCUAAACUUUUAUACCGAUUACCUCUU